UACGUAGGGGGCAAGCGUUGUCCGGAUUUAUUGGGCGUAAAGAGCGUGUAGGCGGCUAGGUAGGUCCGUUGUGAAAACUCGAGGCUCAACCUCGAGCUGUCGAUGGAAACCAUCUGGCUAGAGUCCGGAAGAGGAGAGUGGAAUUCCUGGUGUAGCGGUGAAAUGCGCAGAUAUCAGGAAGAACACCCGUGGCGAAGGCGGCUCUCUGGUACGUGACCGACGCUGAGACGCGAAAGCGUGGGGAGCGAACAGG
rnacentral:rRNA from 1 species